CACGUAGGCACCAAGCGUUGUCCGGAUUUAUUGGGCGUAAAGAGCUUGUAGGCGGUUCGGUUAGUCGGGUGUGAAACCUCUGGCUCAACUCAGAGACGCCACCCGAUACUGCUGUGACUAGAGUGCGGUAGGGGAGCGGGGAAUUCCUGGUGUAGCGGUGAAAUGCGCAGAUAUCAGGAGGAACACCAGUGGCGAAGGCGCCGCUCUGGGCCGUAAACUGACGCUGAGAAGCGAAAGCGUGGGGAGCAAACAGG
rnacentral:rRNA from 1 species